AAAAAAUUGGCAGAGUGGUUAACGCAGAGCCCUGCUAAGGCUUUGCCCUUUGGGAGCGCAGGUUUUAACCCUGUGGGUGUUG
rnacentral:tRNA from 1 species